rnacentral:RNase_P_RNA from 2 species
CGAGAAAGUCGGCCUGUUGAUUUCCCGUUUUUUGGGAGGUAGGAAAGUCCGGACACCGGAGAGCAGCAAAGCGGAUAACAUCCGUCACCCGCGAGGGUAGGACAAGUGCAACAGAAAGCAGGUACAGUUCGGCUGUAGUGAAACCAGGUAAACUCUUUGCGGUGCAAUGAUAAGUAUAUCGGUUCUUUUCAGCAAUGAAAAUAGGAGUGGCUCGCUCUGAAAGCCGAGGGGUAAUCAGCUCAAGUUUUGCAGCAAUGCACGACGCAGAUAAAUAACAGGCAUCUUACUGCCUGCAGUAAGGUACAGAAUCCGGCUUACAGAUUUUCUCGUGGU